rnacentral:lncRNA from 1 species
CUCAGAUUUUCCUCUUGUAGUAAUUUUUUAAAUUCAAAGCAAAAAGGUAUUAAUUUGACCGAGUUAGUUAACUUUUAGCUACGCUUUGACUUGGGAUGGAUUUGCCUUCAGUUCCAUAAAAAUCCAGCAUGCAAUAUGUGUACAGAACACUAGAUGCUAUAAUAGAUAAACCCCCACAUCUCAAGAGAUCAGCACCACACAUGUUUAUUUCUCAUCCAUGUUGUAGUACAAUAAUGGGCUGACUAGCUAGCUCUCAUCUUACUUUUAUUCAGGCACCCAGAUACCUUCCAUUUUGUGGCCCUCCCUUUCCCUGCGUUCUUAGAAGCCUCUUCAUUUUUUCAGUAGACGAGAAAUGAAAGCAAGAAUCCUUUGUGGGAAGGUUUAUGUUUUGGGCCCAUGUAUGAGUCAGAGUUUCCAAGGAAGUAGAAUCAGUAGGAUGGAGAUAUAGAUAUAGAUAUAGAUAUUUGUUGUAAGAAAUUGGCUCUUGAGAUUAUGGAGACUGAGAAGUCCCAAGACCUGCAGUCAGCAAGCUGGAAACCUAGGAGAGCCAAUGGUGUGCUUCUAGCCUGAAAGCCAGCAGCUCAAGGCCUAGGAAGAGCUGUUGUUUCAGGCAGAGGCAGGAAAAAAAACUAACAUGCCAUCUCAGGCAACAGGAGUUCCUUUUCACUCUGAGAUAUUUUUUUUACAGAGGCCUUCGACACAUUUGCAAUGAGGCCCACCCACAUUAGGGAAGUCAACCAGCUUUACUCAGUCUAUUGAUUGUGAACAGACUUCACGAUGGUCUGUUCCACCCUGCAAGAUGUGUAUUCAAUCUUAAAGUGAUCUAGAACUCACUGCUUUAUCCAUCUGAGUUCAAACAAGGCCCAGCACCAAUGAGUAACAUACCAGUUUGAAGUUACUUAGCAUCUUGAACUAGAUCUGAUUGCCUAGGGUCUUAUUUUGGUGUCCAAGUUUUUGAGCAGGCUGAGAAUUCAAGGAUAUUCUGCAUAACCUCUCACCCUCAUAAGUAAAGGGGAUAACUCUUAACUAAGCCAUAAACACACCUUUGUUUCCUUCCCCCAUGUUCUGUGUAUAUACAUGUAGCCUUCGACCCUCUCAGUUUAUUACCUCAUAUUUCUUUCCAAUAAAGAGUAUUCUUUAAUUCCUUCAAACCAUUUUCUGCUGGCAAAAUUAAUAUUUCCUUGGAUUCUCUGCUGCUAUUUUGCUCUGUGGCAUCAAAUUGCUUUGAUAAUGUCAUGAAUCUUAUGUGGUCUAUAAAGGGACUCAGACUGGUUUUGCUUUUGCUUUUGCUUUUGUUUUAAAUUCUGGUCAUAUAGUAAGAGUAAGUAGGGAUGAACUUCUUUUAUGGGGUGCCCUUAUGGGAAAUAGACUCAAAAUUUUAAAUGAGAUUUUGUCAUUUACUAAGAGCUGCAUGUUAAAUAGGAAUGAAAGAGGGAGAAUGCUCAGACAGAGACUGAAUACUAUUACACCACAGUUUUUUUUUUUAACGUAUCAAAACUACAGGUUUUCUUUUAUAAAUUAAUAUAGCCAAGACUCCUUCCAGGAAUUCCUUUGUGGUCAUGAAAGGAGGUAGGCUUUUAUGACAAGCAGGGGAGAAGGAAUCUAGUAAUAUUCAUCAGUGAAGGGGAACAAAAACAUAAGUUAGCCACUUGCAAAAGUGGUCACGGUGUUUAUCCAGUAAAAUAUUAAGGAGCUAUGAAAGAUCACGUAACUAAUCCAAAGAAGAGAAACACUAAAGAAUUAUAAAAAGAUCUCAGUAUUUGCUGAGACGUUAACUCUGUUUCUCGAAUUGCAGAUGUAGAGCAUAGCACACUCUUAUCACAAAAAGGAUGAUUCCUUCAUAUGCUCCUAUAGAAUGUCAUGUGGCAUUUGAUGCUUUAUACAUGUCAGUCAUCAGAGCAACCCUAUAAAGGAGGUAUAAUUAUUGUCAUUUUUUUCUUUUGCCUUUUUUUUUUUAGUGCUCUGCAGCUCUGAUUUGACUCCUAGCCUGGGGACUUCCACUGAUGCAGGUGCAGCCUGAAAAAGACAAAAAUUUCUAAAGGGCGGGGGGAGGAGGUGAGAUUUGUAUUUCAUAAAUUUGAAUAUGGUAUAGCCAUGACUAUAGCCCUAAAUGAACUCCAAAGUUAGGUCAUAAGAUGCUAUAUAUAUUCUUCCUUGUUGCCUUGAAAUGAUGGCUCUUAUAACCCAGCCAGUAAGCUAUAAGGAAGCCAAAAAACCACAUGGAGUGGCCACAUGUAGAUAUUCUAGCUGACGGCCCAAGUGAAUUUCCAGUUGAAAGCCAGCAUCACCACCAGAUUUGUGAGUGAGAAAACCUUUCAAAUGACUCCAGUUCCACCCACUAUCCUACUGAAACAGGAUUUUAAGGUAUUACUUUAUGUUGCAAUAGAUAACUAGAAAAACAUUUUAGUAUCUGGAAUUAUGGUGCCAUCAAUAAAAAAAUCCCAAAAUAUAUGGCAUUAGCCUUAGAACCAAAGAGCAGGAAGAAACUAGAAGAGCACUGAAAAGCUAGUUAGUGAAAGUCUGAAGGGCCUCCGGCAGAAUGAUGGUGAAAGUCCAAAAGAGCAGGUGUUAGCAGAAGCCUGAAGAAGCACCUGAAGUAGGCUGUGGCGGGGGUUUAAGGGAAAGCAAAGGAGCUGUGGUUGGAAGCAGGAGGAAAGGAGACCUUUGUGAUAUAGUGGAAGAAGAUCUGCUAACCCUGUUGCUGGCAGUAACAUGGCAAGUGGUAAAUAUAAUGAUCAUUUUCCUAACAUUUCCUGGCAGAAUAUUGAAGGUGUCGUCUAGCUCCUUGCUGUCUAUGACAAAAAUGUGAGAGGAGGGAGAUGAGCGAAAGAAUGAAUUGUUACAUAUAAAGGAGGCAGGACGUCUAUGUUAAAAGAUAAAACAGGUUUUCAUUCCCAGUCUGUCCAGGUGUUAAAGGCAUCGAAAUUUAAUAAGUAGUUUCUGGGAAGAGUUCAAAUCCAGAGCACUCUCAGGGAAGGAUGAAUCCCAGGGUAUGAUUUUAAAACCUUUUAUUAAGUCCUUAAAAAGAGCAAAGACAGGGAGUUCCCUUCAUGGCUCACCAGUGAUGAACCCGACUAGGAUCCAUGAGGAUGCAGGUUCCAUCCCUGACCUGGCUCAGUGGGUUAAGGAUCCAGCAUUGCCCUGGGCUAUGGUAUAGGUCACACAUGCGCCUUGGAUCCCGAAUUGCUGACGUUGCUGUGGGCUGUGGCCAGCAGCUGCAGCUCAGAUUAGACCUCUAGCCUGGGAACCUCCAUGUGCCACAGGUGCAGCCCUACAAAGAAAAAA